CUACGGGGCGCUCCAGUGGGGAAUCUUAGACAAUGGGGGAAACCCUGAUCUAGCCAUGCCGCGUGAGCGACGACGGCCCUAGGGUUGUAAAGCUCUUUCAGCAGGGAAGAUAAUGACGGUACCUGCAGAAGAAGUCCCGGCUAACUCCGUGCCAGCAGCCGCGGUAAUACGGAGGGGACUAGCGUUGUUCGGAAUUACUGGGCGUAAAGCGCGCGUAGGCGGAUUGUUAAGUCGGGGGUGAAAUCCCGGGGCUCAACCCCGGAACUGCCCUCGAUACUGGCAGUCUUGAGUUCGAGAGAGGUGAGUGGAAUUCCGAGUGUAGAGGUGAAAUUCGUAGAUAUUCGGAGGAACACCAGUGGCGAAGGCGGCUCACUGGCUCGAUACUGACGCUGAGGUGCGAAAGCGUGGGGAGCAAACAGGAUUAGAUACCCGUGUAGUC
rnacentral:rRNA from 1 species